GGGGAUUUAGCUCAGUGGUAGAGCGCUUGCCUAGCAAGCACAAGGCCCUGGGUUCGGUCCUCAGCUCCCA
rfam:Rattus norvegicus chromosome 6, whole genome shotgun sequence.